AAUAGAUACCCCGGUAGUCCUGGCAGUAAACGGUGCACGUUUGGUGUGGGCGGGUUCAGACCCCGUCCGUGCCGGAGCUAACGCGUUAAACGUGCCGCCUGGGAAGUACGGUCGCAAGAUUAAAACUCAAAGAAAUUGACGGGGGGCCCGCACGAAGCGGUGGAGCAUGUGGUUCAAUUCGACGCAACGCGAAGAACCUUACCUGGGCUCGAAAUGCAAAUGACCAUCGGCGAAAGUCGACUUCCGCAAGGACAACUGUAUAGGUGCUGCAUGGCUGUCGUCAGCUCGUGUCGUGAGAUGUUGGGUUAAGUCCCGCAACGAGCGCAACCCUUGUUCUCUGUUGCCAUCAGGUCAAGCUGGGCACUCUGAGGAGACUGCCGGUGACAAACCGGAGGAAGGUGGGGAUGACGUCAAGUCAGCAUGGCCUUUAUGUCCAGGGCUACACACGUGCUACAAUGGCCGGUACAAAGCGCUGCAAGCCCGCGAGGGUAAGCCAAUCGCAUAAAGCCGGUCUCAGUUCGGAUUGCAGG
rnacentral:rRNA from 1 species